rnacentral:rRNA from 1 species
GCUGUUGCCUGAAAAGUUUUGCAUGGAAUAAUGGAAUAGGACUUCGGUUCUAUUUCGUUGGUUUUCGGAUCCGAAGUAAUGAUCAAAAGAGACAAGCGGGGACGUUUGUAUGGCUGCGCUAGAGGUGAAAUUCUUGGACCGUAGCCAGACAGACUAAAGCGAAAGCAUUCGUCAAGCAUGUUUUCAUUGACCAUGAGCGAAAGUCAGAGGCUCGAAGACGAUCAGAUACCGUCCUAGUUCUGACCAUAAACGAUACCAACUGACGAUCCGUGGUGGUAGAAUUUAAACCUUCCUCACGGGCAGUCCCCGGGAAACCAUUAAGUCUAUGGGUUCCGGGGGAAGUAUGGUUGCAAAGCUGAAACUUAAAGGAAUUGACGGAAGGGCACCACCAGGAGUGGAGCCUGCGGCUUAAUUUGACUCAACACGGGAAAACUCACCCGGCCCGGACACUAUGAGGAUUGACAGAUUGAAAGC